rnacentral:rRNA from 1 species
CCCUUAGAUGUUCUGGGCUGCACGCGCGCUACACUGAAGCUAUCAACACGUUUUCCCUCCCUGAGAAGGGCGGGUAACCUUUUGAAUCAGCUUCGUGGUAGGGAUCGGGGCUUGCAAUUGUUCCCCGUGAACCAGGAAUUCCUAGUAGACGCGAGUCAUAAGCUCGCAUCGAUUAAGUCCCUGCCCUUUGUACACACCCCCCGUCGCUACUACCGAUUGAACGUUUUAGUGAGGCAUUUGGACCGACGCAUCUCAGUUUAACCGCUGGUUUGUGUUGGAAAGACUUCCAAACUUGAGCGUUUAGAGGAAGUAAAAGUCGUAACA